CAGCACGGGACGGCGGGGGACAGCGCGGCGUGGCAGCAACGGGAGCACGCGAGCAAGCGCGGCGCGCGGGAGCGGCUACCUUCUGCGGUGCUCGCGGGAUCCAGCGCCGGCGGGCGCGCUGCGUCCAUCGGCCAACGGCGGGUGCGCGGGCGGAACAAGACAGAGGCGGGCGCGCGGGCGGCGGCCGCGCGCGGCGGGAUCCGUUGGCGGGCGGGCGCGUUGGCCAGCGGCAGCGCGCAGCGGCCGCGAGAUUCCGGCGGCGAGCAAAGCGGCACGUGUGGCUUGGUGCAACGCGUUGGGAUCCUGUAAUUGCGCUUCACGGCACCUAAUUUUUGACGCCAACGAGAAUCAGAGUAAAACAUCAAGGGAUGACUGUAAGAGGGAGAAGGAAUCGAAACGGGAUGGCUGAAAGCAAUGGUUUGUGCUAAGAAUAUCAGGAGAACAAGUUUGGCCUGUGGUUGAGUGAUACAGAGCUAGGUUAUAGGGGGCUUGGGCAACUGAAUCAAUUCUAAAGAACUCAAUUUCUUAUACGAUGGAUCCCGGGAAAAGUAUGUUGUGAGAUGGAAUUUCUAAAACAUGGAAAUGAAAAAGUACUGAAACUAUUCAUAACGA